CUCUGUCCCCCGUGGGUUGGGGCAGCUGAGCUGCAGGGGGAGCUGCAUUCUUCCAUCCCCAGGAUGGGGAGGAGGUGGGUGUGCCCUUGGGGCAGAAGAGGCUUGUGGAGAAGGCCGUGAGGAUGGAACUCACUGUUGCUGGUUUUGCAGGAACUCUACACCCUCGAGAGAAGCAGGGCAGGAGGCGAGAGGCACAUGCACACUUAGGGUGCUGCCCUCCAUGGAUCUGUUCUCCCAGAGGAAGGCCCAGCCUCCCACCCUCUACUCAGGCCUGGCAUCAGUGCUCCACGGGCCACAUAAGCAUGUACAGAUCUGCGUUUCCUCAAGAACCCUCCUGCCAUGGCCGGAGUCCCCAUUCCUAUCACCCCGGCCCUGCUGCAGCCUGAGGCCUGAACGCCAGCUUGUGGGAGCAGCUGCAGGCGCGGUAAGCCCAUGUUUUCCAGGCUUACCACAAUGAUGCUGUGUGUAACGUACUUGGACUUCCAGGUUCACACUGCUGCCCGCUGCAGAAGGGGCCAGGGAGAGAGGGCAUCCCCCCCUCCCCGCUACUGCUUUUUGGAGACCAGCUGAGCAGUUUGUAUCAAAAGUAUUAUAAAUGUAAAUACUUUUCAUCCCAGUGUAUCCGCUUUUAAGAAUUUACCCUGGAGAGACUGUCAUGGAUUUGCAUAAAAAUAUACUAGAAGGCAGUCGCGUCAGCUAUCUCUAUAAGAGUAAAACAGGAGGAGUCAUUUAAAUGACACAUCCAUAAGACGGAUGGCUGCAGCCAUCAUAACUCAGGCUGUGGACAAAUGCAUGUGACGUGAGAAAACUUUAAAAUAUGAUAUAAUAAAGUGAAAAGUGCAAUCUCAAAAUCAUCUGCAAUUAAGUUUUCAACAUAGGUAUAUGUUGCCUGAGUGUGUGCUCGAUCAAAGGCAUUUCAAAAAAAAAAAAACCGGAAGAGGCUUAGAUAACGUUAGCAGUUGUCAGUAGGAAGUGAAAACGCAAGAGGCUUUUGUAUCUUUUGGCUGCCCCCUGUGUUUU
rnacentral:lncRNA from 1 species